ensembl:lncRNA
CCCUAAGUGCCUGCAGUAAUGCUGACCCUAAUCUCCCACUUAUCUCUCUGUAAGAUUUCUGAGCCUUUCAGUCCUCCUGAGCAAGCAAGGCACCUGGUCCCUGCAUUCCCUGCCAUAGCAGGCUGAGUAUUGCUGAGUAAAUCCAUCUCAUCAGGAGGAGGAGGAAACGCUUUUGGGAAUGAUAAAACAACGAGCAAAGCAAGAGCUGCCGGGGCGGCUGAGUGCCCCAAUGGCUGAAGAAAAGCCCAAGUAUAACUGCACUGUCAGUGAAGUCACGAUUGUGAACCUGCAGCCUGAUAAAAAUCCAGUUCUCCUCUUGCCAGGAGGGAAGCCAGGAAGUGAACAUAGAAACCUUGGUUUCCAGCCUCCUUCUCCAAGGAUUUCAGAGAAGAGGCUAUGCCAAGGAGAGAAAAAAUUGUGGCCAGAAAAGAUGAAAAAGGAGGGAGUUUUGUCUCCCAGCCUGCAUCAUGCAAGUGAGUUGUGCAGCACAGAGAAUGUUAGCCUGAAGAGGCCAGUGAAGUUGGCCCCUCUGGAGAUCCCUGUGGAAGUAAAAGAAGCCCAGCUCCAAAAGAUUAUGAGCAUCCAGAGAGAAGCCCAAAUGGCUGCCCAGAAGCUGAUGGUGAUCAACUCCGUGCGGAAUGAGCCCCAUGUGAAACGGGUAAAGAAUCUGGCACAGGGGGAGCUGGGAAACCUUCAACAGAUCAAGCUGAGUGAGAAGGCUGCUCUGGAGAGCAAAGAUGAUCCCCUACCCCCUAAAAGCAGCAAACCCCUUGGAGAAAUCCAAAUUAUUUUGCCUUCAGAGACAACCUCUAAGUCGACUAAACAAGCAGGUGCUGAGGAGGCUCCCAAGACACUCUGUAAGCCAUUAAUCCCCACUCUCCACGUGUCUGACAUGCAUGGAGAGUCCAACAGCCCCGAGAGCAUCCCUGAUCCCUGCCAAAAUGUUUCUCGGCGCCGAUUCAGAUUAAGACACACGAAAGAGCAGCAGGAAGACCACGGGAAAGCCAAACCCUUAAAGGCCACAGAUCCAAGUGUGGGAGAAGGCACGAAGAAAACUGCAGGUCAGCGGACACAAAAAACCCUCAGUGACGCCAGCAAGCUCAUUGAAAAUGUAUCCAAAAAGCAGAAGGAACGAGGAGCAAAGCAAAGGGAAAUAGAUGAAGCCUCUCUUGGGAGGAGGCAGUCCAUUCGAAGGAUGGCCUUGGGAGACAUCAUACAGGUGGAUGAUGACUGAAUGUUACAGCACAGAUACCCAGAAAAAUGUUUCAGAAUGACUGCUUAGCUAGAAGUCUUCAGAAGAGUGCUUGGAGACAUUAGUAGACCACCAAGUAAAAAUAAGGCGAUAUUGUUGAACAACUCUAUCAUUUGCUGAGAUGCUCAAACAAGCGGCUCAGAGAAAAUAACAUUUCGCUCUGCUCAACACUAGAAAGGCCUCAAAUAUCCUGAGCCCAGCACAGAGUAUAACUUUUCAAGACACAUAUGGACCAUGCAGGAAAACUACGGAUGUGGACUGGGUGGAGGGAUCAAGAAAAAAACAGGAAUGUAGAAAGUGCUAUGUCUGGGGCUUUUUGCUCCUGAGAAUAUAGCUCUUCCACUCUCAGAUGUGGCAAGUCUGUUUCAGAAAAAAAGAUUAAAAAGUUCUUCAUAUCUACUGUUGGCAGAACAAUAAAUAAUUAGCAUUAGUUUAGCAGGAGACAUUCAAGUCAGAAAAGGAGAAAAACUUUUAGGUACAACAGACACCGAAGAAUGAUGUUUACCAAGAUGGGAAUCUCUGUCACUGAAAUUUUUAAUAAUGCAUUAGGCAAACACCUGCCAAGGAUGUUUUCAGAUGAAUUAAUCCUUCAUUCACACACAAGGACCGGAUGAUCUGUAAUGUCCUUCAGUCUCAAUUUUCUUAUAUUGUAUGGUCUAUCUUUUCAGUUGUCUACCUGUGGGGCUGCAUACUAAGCCAUGUAGUGCAAAAAGAUACAAUAAAUGCAACUUUUCACUUUUCACUGAUUCUUCAUUGUCUUGCAGCUUGUGCCAAGAUAUUAACUGAAUUCUUCAGAAGGAAGCAUCUAGUGCUGCUUUCCCUUGGUUUCUUCAGACUUCUGUUUAUUCUUUCACAAUUUCUUGGUAAAUGGAGGAACAGUUCAUCCAUAUAUUUUUUGUGUUGCCCUUUUUAUCUUUUCACUUUUGGUCACUUUUUAAGAUCUUAGUCAUCUUGUAAAGAUUGAGUAUUGGGUUUAUGUAUAAUACGGAAUAAACCAAACCUAUGCAGUCUCAACUUAGUCCCCCUUAGAAUCUUUUUUGGAGGAAAAACCUAUUUCGUGGGGUUUAGGACAGGUAUUAUAACAAUGUGGCAGAGUUUCUAGCAUGGUGCAAAUAUUAUUAAUAAGGUUAACAUACGAUAACAUUUGCUUUAUAAAUGACUUUUACAGAAAGAAUUAGGAUGCUCAAUGUCUUCUGGUAGUUCACUUCUUCAGUUGUUUGAUUUUCUAUUAAAGGUGGUGAAAUGAUCUUAAGAGGCUGGGACUUCAAUAAACCAAUGGUGAGACUUGCCAUAAAACCCCAAGAGCUGGUAAAAAUACAUGGAUGUCUAGAGAAACAAAAGGUGGGUAGAAGCAGCAGAGCUCAGUCUUUAAACAUGCUGGGGUUGGUGGGAGAUGAGAAAAGAAGAUGAAGACAUUUUGAUAUAGAAAAGAAGUGAGCCUUUUUUGCCUCUAAUUCUUUCUUCUAUGUACAUGAUGAAGACAAUGAAAGAGCAGAUGAGGGCUUGAAAAAUAUUUGAGUAUUUUUCUGCAUUCCAACAAUAUCAGAAAGUGUGAAACUUUUUUUUUUGAUUGUUUGUUUCCUGAUUGUUCUCUUAGUAAGGGAAGACCCACAAUUCAGAGAUUCUUUUGGAAUUUGCUUGAGUGUUCCUUGCUGAAGAGAAAACAGACAUUGCCAGGAUUGAAACUCUUCCCAGGCUUGUCACAGCAGCAGUGGCUGAAUUUAUACAAAUCAGUCACCCUGUGACUUGCCACCACCUUUAUCUGUCAAUUUUCUAUGCUGAGAAUACCUGGGGAAUGAGGCUCACAACUAUGCAGGCCAGAUAAUUCCAGGUGAAUAAGAAUUUUUGUAGCAGUUGAACAAAUAACUUGGACUUAAAAAGAGAUGUUAAACCAGGAAUAAAAAAAAAAAAAAGAGAUGUAUGUCCUCCUUGUGAUGUCUAGGCAGUGAGAAGAAAUAAAAAUUUAAUUAAUAAACUCAACUGCAUCUCUGACUCAGUGCAGCUUAAUUGUGAAUGUGAAACUGCAAUUCCCGUGCAUUUUGUUGGCAUCUCACAAGUUCCCAGACAGACAGUAUUAAUGGGAUAUCCAAAGAACAUGCUACUAAGACUUUCAGUUUUCAGUAGAUGGAUGGCAUGAGGCAACAGCUGAGUUAAGCUUGGUCUGGCUUACCUGAGAAGCUGCUGCCUUUCGUUAAGCCAUGAUGUAAGAAGGUCCUUCAAAUGGGUGUUUGAGCCCAUCUGGUUGGGUCUCUUGCCUUGGAAAUACAGUGACAACUCAACCAGGAUGAACAACCCCUUCAGCUGUCUGUGGGAAGGCCACUACAGGUGUCAGAAUGACUUUCUAUUCCUCUACUCUUUUAGUGAGCUCUUUUCAUGCAAGUAAAUGCCUUAAAACAAAUUUUUAAGGAACAAAUGAUUAGGUGAUGCUUUAAAAAUGUGAACCAAUGAGACUGAAAAGAACUUAGAGGUCCCAACUUUCUCCUGUGGCUGCAAUGACAAAUUGUUAUUGGAUAAACAGGUAGAAGACUUUUGAUUGGGGAAAGGGACUAAAAGCUUUUUGAUCUCCAGCAUAACAAGGUCAUUGAGGAAAUGGAAGCCCCCAGGACUCAGUAUCCAGCUUUACAAGGAAUUUCAUGCUGUGUCCCAUGCUUCAAAGAGCACCUUCAUUUACUGGAAAAGUGAUAGAGGGCUCAUCUGAAUUCUGGGAAACUUAAUCUUCCAUGAGAUAGGGAAAAAGUUUGAGCUGUAGUUUGUACAAGGUAUUUUAGGAAGAAGGAAAAAAAGGAUAUAAAUAAUUUAGCAGAAAUUGAAUCUUGAGAAAUUCAUAUAGGAAUUGGGUGCAGCAUUUUAAGUUGGGCUGCUGUCCAAUAUAAAUGCAUCCUGCCCUGGCUCUUUGCACUGCUUAGACCUUCUCACCACCCCCUUAUGCUGGCAUUGCUUCUCAAACAGCAGCACAGUGAUCCGGAACAGUGAAUUUAACAUAGAAAAUUCCCCCAAAAGAUGAGUAUUCAACUGGGGUUUGCACCAGGCUUGAUUUAGCGAAUUGAUUCACUGGUGCUUGAGUCAGUAUGAAGGAGGCAAGGACAGGGAAGCACACAUUCACUCACUGGUCUUCUGUCAUGCUGAAGUGUAUCUAAAUUAUAUUCUAAAGGCAGUAAACUACUGCACUGAAGUGCCAAGGGUCACAGUGGGCUCUGUGACAUGACACAAAUACUUGAACAACCUGGGCUCCACCCUCAGACUUCUGAGACUGAAGAAUAAUGGUGGCUUGGUUUAGAAAUGCCUGUCCAGUGUUGGCUGCUCCACUCCCUGUUCUGGAUCUGUUCACUCUUCUGAUCAACUGUUUUUAAGGUUUUAAAUCUAUUUAGUCUGAAACAUGAUGGAAGUAAUGUUUCCCGUAACACCAAAUUGUAUCAGUGUGGGAGCAUCAGAGGAACUCUGGUGCCUAUACAAAAAAGAGCUAAUGCUUCCAAAGUAUUGCCCUUUUCUAGUAAAAAAAGUGUGCUUCAAUGUUACCUAAUGCUUGCUAGUGUGUAAAGUGAGAAGAGAAAAAGCAGUGCUGUUCACACAUAAAAUAACAUUUUGAGGGCAAAUUCAAUUUCAGAAGAAUCCCAUUGAAAAGGCAAGAUUAGGGCAAAAGAGGCUGGGUUUUUUUCAACCUAACUCAGGCUAUGUCAAGGUGAGUAUUGUGGAAGGGGAACCAAGCUCUGCUCCCAUUUACAUGCUGUACAUGGAAUAUCAGUCCCUUGAGUCAAUUCAGUUGCCCUAUCUUCAGACUGACUUCAGAAAAUGAUUCAGGAACUUCAAACCACAGCGUUUGAACUGUGGAUGAUGCAAUCAGUGGAGCUGAGAUUUAACUGAUCUGUAAAGACCUUUUCAAAUAUUGAGAAUAAAGGAAAAAAAUGUAGCAACUUAAUAAUGAGGGAGAUCCAUUCUUAUGCAAAUAAAUUUAAUAAAGGAAUAAAUGUGCUUUAAGGAUUUAUAUCCAUGUCUCUGUUCAGUUGGUUUUUCCAAGAGAAAACCUCUUUGAUUGCAUAUUCCAUUGCUCUUGCUUCCAAUGUUUUUGCAGCUCAGGAACCCAGUGGGUGAUUUGUUUUGUAUAAUGCAAAAACAAUUUCUAUCCCUUUUCCCUAGGCUGUGAAAAAGCAGGGCACAAAGAUGGUCUCCACUCCAAAGACAUUUUAGCCUCAAUGUAAAAUAAAGAGGUAGUGGGCAGACACAACAAACACAGACAAGUGAGAUCCCUUCCAAAUCAGUCAUGAGCAAAAUUUACAGGCUAAUGUCACAAUCACCUAAUUUAGGAACAGCACAUGUUUCACAAACAGCACCUUCCACCCCCACAGAGUCUUACAGGCUUCACAGAAGAACAGGAUAACACUGGGAUGAGAAAAAAAAGGGUAAAUUCUUGAUUGAUUCAUCGACCUCUAGAGCCAGACAUGGUCCCUCACUGGAAGUGUGAAGAGGACAGCCCAGAGAUAACUGGAUCCCAGUCACGACUUGUAAUGGAUAGGAACACUGUGAAAUAGCCAAAUGUCUUGGCUGUCCCCUCCACUGUGCAGAAAUGUCCCUGAAAACACUGCUUGGGUGUUUGCUUGCAGUUUGUUCUCCUUUCAGUCAGCAACAGGAUAACUCAGUCCUGGAUGGAAGACAGAGAAGAGAUUCAGGAAAGCUUUUAGAGGUGAGGAUCUAAAAGAGCACCCUUUUUUUACAAAAAAAGUAUUUUUUUUAUUCUCUAUUGUUGCUUAUUAUUAGAGUCUCUUUGCAAUUGCCUUUACAUUUUCAGGGAUUGUCAUAUGGAUUUUGUGGAGAAUUACAGGAAAUGACAACACAGUCAUCAACAGAUGAGAGGAAGGGAAAG